rnacentral:rRNA from 1 species
UACAGAGGUCUCAAGCGUUGUUCGGAUUCAUUGGGCGUAAAGGGCUCGUAGGUGGCCAACUAAGUCAGACGUGAAAUCCCUCGGCUUAACCGGGAACUGCGUCUGAUACUGGAUGGCUUGAGUUUGGGAGAGGGAUGCGGAAUUCCAGGUGUAGCGGUGAAAUGCGUAGAUAUCUGGAGGAACACCGGUGGCGAAGGCGGCAUCCUGGACCAACACUGACACUGAGGAGCGAAAGCCAGGGGAGCAAACGGG